rnacentral:misc_RNA from 3 species
UGUUCACUCGUGGUUCUUGUGUUGCCUACCCGUUUAGCGGUAUUCAUGUGCCUCUUAAGACCCGUUCAAUCCAGACCCCUUGUAGGGAGUGCUGGUGAGUUCGAAAGUGAUGCAUGUUUUGCGUUAGCUGUGCAUUGUAACGGCUGGCGUGCUAACAUGUGUCUACUGUUCCCUCGGAUGCGGUGCAUGCGGUGAACGUGGGCUGAUGAUUGUGCCCCGUUGAGUCCCUUUUAAUUAUCGGUUGCCUUGAAUGACACUUUGUCGUAGUGCUAGUGUUGCUUUACCAUUCGUGGUGUCAGCACUAGUACGUCGAGCAGAGUCGUUGAUGGAUGCUACCUGGUUGAUCCUGCCAGUAGUCAUAUGCU